rnacentral:rRNA from 1 species
GUGCCAGCAGCCGCGGUAAUACGUAGGGUGCAAGCGUUAAUCGGAAUUACUGGGCGUAAAGCGUGCGCAGGCGGUUCGGAAAGAAAGAUGUGACAUCCCAGGGCUUAACCUUGGAACUGCAUUUUUAACUACCGGGCUAGAGUGUGUCAGAGGGGGGUGGAAUUCCACGUGUAGCAGUGAAAUGCGUAGAUAUGUGGAGGAACACCGAUGGCGAAGGCAGCCCCCUGGGAUAACACUGACGCUCAUGCACGAAAGCGUGGGGAGCAAACAGGAUUAGGUACCCUGGUAGUCCACGCCCUAAACGAUGUCAACUAGCUGUUGGGGCCUUCGGGCCUUGGUAGCGCAGCUAACGCGUGAAGUUGACCGCCUGGGGAGUACGGUCGCAAGAUUAAAACUCAAAGGAAUUGACGG